GGUAGAAACUGGUCCAACGAGGAGAGUGCCCAGCCCUCAUAAAAAAUGUGAGAGUAAGAGAGAACAUACAUUGUAGAAUUGGAUAAAAUUAAAUUGUGAUUGCAGAUGUUACAUUUAGGAGGAAUUAUUGAUCGAUUCGGACAUUAGACUAUACAAGGUGGUUACAUGUAAGAAUAAAUCAAAGAUUUAAAUCACUUUGAGUUAAAAACAACAAAUAAAAACGACAUUGCAAGGGGGCACUUUUUAUUAAAAGAACACCAAGUAAAUUAUUAAGUAGGGGGCAUUCGUGAUUGGGAUUGAAUUAAGGAUAAAAUUAGGUCAAUGAUUAGAAAUCAAUGGUGUUCCUUGUUAUUCUCUUAUCCCCUGCAUUGUAAAUGUCUUCUUUAUGCAGAUAGGUUAACAGGCUAGGAAUUUAGUGAGGAGAUAAUUGAUCAAUUGAUGGGGGUUAAUAAUUGUCCAAAUUCUAGUCACAUGUUUUGAGGGACCACAG